rnacentral:rRNA from 1 species
UACGUAGGUGGCAAGCGUUGUCCGGAUUUACUGGGCGUAAAGGGCGUGCAGGCGGUUUGUUAAGUGCAGGGUGAAAGCUCCCGGCUCAACUGGGAGAGGUCCUUGCAUACUGGCAAACUCGAGGGAGGCAGAGGAAAGUGGAAUUCCCGGUGUAGUGGUGAUAUGCGUAGAUAUCUGGAGGAACAUCGGUGGCGAAGGCGGCAUCCUGGACCGGUAUUGACGCUGAGGCGCGAAAGCCAGGGGAGCAAACGGG